CAUUACUAGGGUUUUGAGUUCAUUUUCCUUCUUCUUCGACAUUCCGCCGCCCCCCUCCUCUCAUCUGUUCAACUUCAACCUUUUAGAAAAAUAGUACUUCCACCACAAUAUUCAACCUUUGAUGUCUUCAUCAUCGCCACAUUCAUAUCUCCUGCUCAAUCUCUUCUCCUAAUGUUACCCUUACUCACAUAUUAGUUUUCAAACCCAAACCCUAACCCCCAAAUUCAUAAAAGAUCGCAAUGAAACACUUGAAGAACAUCUUCCUACUAUUUGUCUAGAAGCUAUAGGAGGGACAUCACUGAAUGAAGCAAGCUCUAUAUCUCAUCAGAUUCUCAAAUUGGUUAAUAUGCAAUCUCACCUAAUAUAAACAUGAUGUAAAGAGGGUAUUCUUGGAAGGAAAUCCUUACCUCCUAGGAAUUACCAUGAUUGUUUCUCUUCAGUCAGUAUUUGACUUUCUGGCUUUUAAGAGUGGUGAACAUGGUGGCUAAAUAUAGAUGCAAGUGAGAAACUGUGAGUUUGUUGUAGAUUUGAAACUUGCUUCUUUGGCCAUGGUGAAUCUGUUGAAGAUAAAAAAUGGAAUGAAAUAGCAAAUGGAGAAAAAGUGUAUGGAACUUGUUGAAGAUAUUAUGAAGGUGCGUAUCGAGGAAGACAUUGAGAGCUUUUUCAGUGUUAUAUUUUAUAUUACCUUCAUAUUGAGCAUGGCUGUUUUGUUUCAGGUGUGAAAUAAAGAAGGCUGUUUUGUUUCAGGUGUGAAAUAAAGAUCCAUGUUUAAUCAUGUCAUUAAUUUUUUAAAAGUCAUUAAUUUUUUUAAAGUUGGGUAAUAGUAUUGAUUUUCUUUUAAUUUCACUAAAGACUGACUUCAAUGUCUUGUUUAAAGAUGUUGCUGCAAUGAAAAAAUGGAGUAAAUUUUAGAGAAAGAGCAUUGUUAAGUUUUUUUUUUUUAAAUUUUCUGAUAAAUUUUCUUCUCUAAGUUCUU